rnacentral:lncRNA from 1 species
CAGCUACAGCUACAGCUGAAUGUGAAUUUCUGGAUACAGAUUUCACUUCUCCUCUUCAAGUAACUCCACUGUUCAGAUCUUUAGCUGCAGAAAUUCCCACCCCAAAGUUUUCAGAAAGUGUAAGAAAAUUAUGCCUUGUUAAUAUUAAACUGAUUCAAUGUAAUUGUUUUGCUAAAGAGCUUCGCCAUCAGUGCAUUUAGAUAAUGGAUCAAAUUGGACUUUUAUGCAUGGGUAAUAUGGGUGGAUUGGAGCAACAAAAGACAAAUCAUUUCAACUGAAAAUGUAGUUUACUUUUGCCUCAGUUGGUUAGUUCAAAAGCUCAAGAGAAAGUGUGCUUCUUUUGUUUUGUUUUUGGUCUUUUCCAUUUUGUGUCUCCUUAACACAAAUCUGAAUCCUUGUUAUCUAGAGUGCUGUGUAUCAUGCUUCAUUCUAUAUAAAAAGAAAAGGAAGAGCUGUAAGUAUAUUAUCAUAAAUUCAGCCAAGUUCAAGGCAUCUGUUGUAAGCUCCAGUUUUAUUUAGAGAACAAAAAGAAUAAGAAGCACUAAAAGGGAAGAAGGAACAGAGCUGGACUGAAAAUAUAUGUAUGUCAUCCAACCCCCAAAAUCUUUGAGUAAAGUGAAGAUGUCUGGUAUUUCUACCUAAUCUAAUUAUCUGAUUUUAAGACCUCCCAAAUCUUUGCCAGAAGGCAAUUUCUUAGAUAUGUGCUAAUUUCUGCUUGUUACUUAUGUACUAAAUGGUCGAAAGAAAGAAAAUCAGGUUUGGAGGUUACUGAUUGUCGUUUAUGUGUUGAUCUAUGGGAGUUUACAUAUACUGGUAAACAGAAUUUCUUGCCAAAACCCUGUAAAGUUUACUGUUCCUUCACUUUGUUAACCUAACUUCCAGAAGAGCUGGGAAACGAUCUUAAGCUUGCAGCAGAAUUCAACAACAUGCCCAGUGAAAUCCCGUAAGUGUGAUCUAGGGAGGGUAGUGUGUACGCAGUCUCUACUCUACCUUUGUAACUGUAGAGAAGCUGUUUCCAAUAUACCCUCGACACAAGGAGCUUGCAACAGAGUUGAUUUUGGGAUAUAAUCUGCUUCCACAUCAUUAUCUCUUACACUUUCCCUUAUUUCACAAUCUUGAUCUCCCUUUCUAGUCUGCCUUAACCAUAACGAUUAGCAUCCAAAUUCUAUUCUAGCUCGUUUGCCUUAUUUUCAAAAGACGUGCUUAUCUUAGAUGCAAACGGAUUGCAGAAUUCCUCUUUUAAAAUUUUAACCCCUAUAAAGAUUUAGAAAGUGUGAUACAGUAAGUUGUUUUAGUUAAUUUUAUUUCUUCAUCAUAUGCUUAGAAUGCAAGUCUGAAGAUUACUACUUUCAUCGAUUGGAUUAAGGUUACAUUCUUUCUUGAUUUUUGGUGAUCUGAAAACUGUUCUGAAGUUUGGGUUGCCUUUUACAUUGACAUGUCUAUUUCAUGUAAAUCACGAUGCAUGAUUUCAUUUGCCUUUCUCUUUGACCUUAAUUAAUUUAUGUGAAGUCAAGUGUGAGGCAAGACUAGGAUUAACAUUUUUUAAAUUGUUUUUUCAGGAGAGGCAGUUCCUAUUGAAAACACUUGGAGUGGAGUCCACAUCCCCGUAUCCAGGCACAAAUCAUACACAACCUCCAUCGUGCAAAAGAGCCCUCCUUCACAGUCUAUAACCAACUUUACUGAUCAAACCUUACACAGAUUCUGUGGCGGGCAGAAUCACCAUGACUUUGAUCAACAGUUUUUAUUAUAUGUAGUCUACUCAAUUUUUUGGAGUUCUUUUUGUUUGGAUUGCAGUCAAUACGACCUGAAUUUUUUUCAAGAGGCCUUGGAAGAUCUGGUCUGCAUCCUAGAAUGCAAUGGAGGCAUUCUAGCUUUUUAUCUGGAGAUCUGACAGAUGAUCUGCAUCCUUUUCGGAGUUUCCGACCUAAUACUCACAGUAUCUAGUGUGCUUUUUUUAAUUGUUUCAUAUUCUUUUGUGUGUUAUGGAACACGAAUGGGGGUAUUCGAUGUUCCAUCUGUGUUUUUUUUAAUUGUUUCAUAUUCUUUUGUGUGUUAUGGAACACGAAUGGGGGUAUUCGAUGUUCCAUAAGUUUUCGGCUAUUGAUUAGCCAGUUGUACAGAACAAAUAUUGUACUUACAGAUUGGCAGCUCGCCAAGGUUUAUAGAGAAUAUUGAAAAGAGAAAGGAAAAAAAACAAAAAAAAAAAGGAAGAAAACAUAGAGAGCUAGGAGGAUCAAUAAGUUGAAUUGGCCUUCUAUCUCAGUUUCUUUUCAUUUAUUUUGUGUGUAGAUGUUAUAUAAUAAGCUUCUAGGCUGUUCAGAGCUUUUUUUCUCUUUGCCUGAUCUACAUGUAAUGUAAAACAUACUUUAUUUGAUUGGAGAAUGCAUGAUGGUUCGUGUGUGCAGACAUUUUUCUUCUCCUUCUCUACUUGUCUGAGAUAGUAAGAUUGCUCAUUACUGUGAUACUGUAACAGGUAAUGAACAUUUAUCUUUACACAAAAACUUGUUAUAACUUAUAAGCACAGAACAGGAAAGAGAUAUGAGUUCUUACUCAUAAAGAUAAAGGUUGUUGCUUUCUCUGGCUUUAGACAAGAGACUUCUUCCAUUCCUUCUGCUGCUGCUGUCUCUGUUUCAGAGAGAUCUGUAAAUGGGGGUGGAAUCUUGUGGGGAAUGAGGGGUCUGAGAAAUCUGUUGCUUAUUUAAAUUGGUCAGCAGUUGGUGGUGGUGGUGGCCAACUGUGAUCAUUACUAAAAGCAAAAGCCAG